rnacentral:rRNA from 1 species
UACGUAGGGGGCAAGCGUUGUCCGGAAUCAUUGGGCGUAAAGCGCGUGUAGGCGGCUCAGUAAGUCCGCUCUGAAAGCCCGGGGCUCAACCCCGGGAGGCGGGUGGAUACUGCUGAGCUUGAGUCCGGAAGAGGCGAGUGGAAUUCCCGGUGUAGCGGUGAAAUGCGCAGAUAUCAGGAAGAACACCUAUGGCGAAGGCAGCACUCUGGGACGGUACUGACGCUGAGACGCGAAAGCGUGGGGAGCGAACAGG